CCCUGAAAAAUUUCGUCCACCAACAAGCCAUCCUCUAGUAUCGACAAUCCCAACUGUUUAGUAAAGCCCAAGGUUGACCAACAAUAACCAGUAAAAAAUAAGUGGAUUUUACCCUAUUUCAUCAUGUCCAAUAAUUAGAACUCUGAUUGUUAUUGAAAUUGGAGAAGAUUUUAUUUAAUUGGUGAACCGACCCAGAUAAAAGGGUUUAUAGGAAGCAAAAAGGAUGUUGAAGAUCCAUUUAACUGACCCGAGCUUUCACUCAGGGAGUAGUGGCCGAAAAGGCAAUCUUUAAUAGUCAUUGUUCAGUUUAUCAUUUAGCUUUGCAGAUUGACUUGGAAUGAAGCCACAGAGAAACACACAUAUUGGGUGAGUAUGAAAAUACUUGAGGUUUUUGUUUCCACACGGUUGUGAUCUUAUUGGAAAUAUGCAGAAGAAGAAAAAUUGAGAGAAAGAAAUGGGAAAGGAUUAUCAGGAUGAGGGGUGGGGAAGAGAAUGAACUUUUCUUUUAUAUUGAAGAUGUGAAAAACGGAAAAACUUGUUUAUUAGUUUUUCUGGAUUUUUAAUUACAUGUGCAAUAUUUUUGUUUAAAA